CCCCUAGUGAGGCACAGUGGUUUGAGUGUUUGACCACGACUCUGGAGACCAGGGUUCAAGUCCCUGCUUGGCUA